rnacentral:rRNA from 1 species
AAAGCCUCCUUCGGGGGGCAAGUAGAGUGGCGCACGGGUGAGUAACACGUAGGUAAUCUACCUUUGGAUUGGGAAUAACAACCGGAAACGGUUGCUAAUACCGAAUAAUGCAGCGGCACCUAAUGGUGACAGUUGUUAAAGCGGGGGAUCGCAAGACCUCGCGUCUGAAGAGGAGCCUGCGGCGGAUUAGCUAGUUGGUAAGGUAACGGCUUACCAAGGCGAUGAUCCGUAGCCGGCCUGAGAGGGCGGUCGGCCACACUGACACUGACAUACGGGUCAGACUCCUACGGUAGGCAGCAGUCGGGAAUUUUGGGCAAUGGGCGAAAGCCUGACCCAGCAACGCCGCGUGAAGGAUGAAAUCCUUCGGGAUGUAAACUUCGCAAGAACGGGAAGAAUAAGUAAGGGUUAAUAUCUCUUACGAUGACGGUACUGUUUGUAAGCUCCGGCUAACUCCGUGCCAGCAGCCGCGGUAAUACGGGGGGAGCAAGCGUUGUUCGGAUUUACUGGGCGUAAAGGGCGCGUAGGCGGCCUCCGCAAGUCGACUGUGAAAUCUCCGGGCUUAACCCGGAAAGGUCAGCCGAAACUGCGGGGCUAGAGUGCAGAAGGGGCAACUGGAAUUCUCGGUGUAGCGGUGAAAUGCGUAGAUAUCGAGAGGAACACCUGCGGCGAAGGCGGGUUGCUGGGCUGACACUGACGCUGAAGCGCGAAAGCUAGGGGAGCGAACGGGAUUAGAUACCCCGGUAGUCCUAGCCUUAAACGAUGAAUGCUUGGUGUCUGGGGUUUUAUAGUCCCCGGGUGCCGUCGCUAACGC